GAAACCUUCUUUCCUCGGUG
rnacentral:tRNA from 1 species